GAGAAAUGAGUAUAGGUGGCUGUACGGUUGGCUUGAAACCAGUUAUGGUGGUUCGACUCCACCUUUUCUUG
rnacentral:tRNA from 1 species